rfam:Salmo salar isolate Sally breed double haploid chromosome ssa12, whole genome shotgun sequence.
UGGCUCAGUUGGUAGAGCAUGGUUUUUGCAAUGCCAGGGUUGUGGGUUCGAUUCCCAC